rnacentral:rRNA from 1 species
GACGAACGCUGGCGGCGUGCUUAACACAUGCAAGUCGAACGGUAAGGCGCUGCUCUUGUGGGUUGCUCUGGUUGCGAGCGGGAGGGUAACACGAGAGUAGCGUGCCCUGCACUCUGGUAUAACUUCAGCACACGGGGGCGAAUAUCGUAUGGGAUCUCCUGCUGCUGUGGGGUGGUGGGUAAGGUUCGGGGGUUGUGGCUGGGCUCGCGGCUUUUCAGCUUGUUGGUGGGGUUGGGGCGUACCAGGGCUUCGACGGGUGGCCGGCCUGAGAGGGUGACCGGCCACAUUGGGACUGAGAUACGGCCCAGACGCCUACGGGAGGGAGCAGUGGGGAAUAUUGUACAAUGGGCGGAAGGCUGGUGCGGCAGCGCCGCUUGCGGGAUGACGGCCUUCGGGUUGUAAACCGCUUUCGCCUGGGACGAAGCGUGAGUGACGGUAGUGGGUAAAGAAGCACCGGCUAACUACGUG